rnacentral:rRNA from 1 species
UACGAAGGGGGCUAGCGUUGCUCGGAAUCACUGGGCGUAAAGGGUGCGUAGGCGGCGCGGUAAGUCGGGUGUGAAAUCUCGGGGCUUAACUCCGAAACUGCAUUCGAUACUGCCGUGCUUGAGGACUGGAGAGGAGACUGGAAUUUACGGUGUAGCGGUGAAAUGCGUAGAUAUCGUAAGGAAGACCAGUGGCGAAGGCGGGUCUCUGGACAGUUCCUGGACGCUGAGGCACGAAGGUCAGGGGAGCAAAACGGGG